UGCCGCGUGAGUGAAGAAGGCCUUCGGGUUGUAAAGCUCUUUCGGACAGAAAGAAAUCGCACGGGUAAAUAAUUCGUGUGGAUGACGGUACUGUAAGAAGAAGCACCGGCUAACUACGUGCCAGCAGCCGCGGUAAUACGUAGGGUGCGAGCGUUAAUCGGAAUUACUGGGCGUAAAGCGUGCGCAGGCGGUUGCAUAAGACAGAUGUGAAAUCCCCGGGCUUAACCUGGGAACUGCGUUUGUGACUGUGUAACUGGAGUACGGCAGAGGGGGGUGGAAUUCCUGGUGUAGCAGUGAAAUGCGUAGAUAUCAGGAGGAACACCGAUGGCGAAGGCAGCCCCCUGGGCCUGUACUGACGCUCAUGCACGAAAGCGUGGGGAGCAAACAGGAUUAGAUACCCUGGUAGUCCACGCCCUAAACGAUGUCGACUAGUUGUUCGGGAAGGUGACUUCUUGAGUAACGAAGCUAACGCGUGAAGUCGACCGCCUGGGGAGUACGGUCGCAGGAUUAAAACUCAAAGGAAUUGACGGGGACCCGCACAAGCGGUGGAUGAUGUGGAUUAAUUCGAUGCAACGCGAAAAACCUUACCUACCCUUGACAUGUCUGGAAGUCUGC
rnacentral:rRNA from 1 species